GGGUAACGGCCCACCAAGACCGUGAUGUCUAGGGGAACUGAGAGGUUGGUCCCCCACACUGGAACUGAGACACGGUCCAGACUCCUACGGGGAGGCAGCAGUGAGGAAUAUUGGACAAUGGCCGGAAGGCUGAUCCAGCCAUGCCGCGUGAAGGAAUAAGGUCCUAUGGAUUAGUAAACUUCUUUUGUACGAGAGCAAUAAGUGUCACGAGUGACACGAUGAGAGUAUCGUACGAAUAAGCAUCGGCUAACUCCGUGCCAGCAGCCGCGGUAAUACGGAGGAUGCGAGCGUUAUCCGGAUUUAUUGGGUUUAAAGGGUGCGUAGGCGGGAUUUUAAGUCAGCGGUGAAACGCAAGGGCUCAACCCUUGACCUGCCGUUGAAACUGGAGUUCUUGAAUGCGGAUGCUGUGGGAGGAAUGUGUGGUGUAGCGGUGAAAUGCAUAGAUAUCACACAGAACACCGAUUGCGAAGGCAUCUCACAAAUCCGUGAUUGACGCUGAGGCACGAAAGUGUGGGGAUCAAACAGGAUUAGAUACCCUGGUAGUCCACACUGUAAACGAUGAUAACUCGCUGUCGGCGAUACACAGUCGGUGGCCAAGCGAAAGCGAUAAGUUAUCCACCUGGGGAGUACGACCGCAAGGUUGAAACUCAAAGGAAUUGACGGGGGCCCGCACAAGCGGAGGAACAUGUGGUUUAAUUCGAUGAUACGCGAGGAACCUUACCCGGGCUCGAACGGCAAGUGAACGACACAGAGAUGUGAAGGUCCUUCGGGACACUUGUCGAGGUGCUGCAUGGUUGUCGUCAGCUCGUGCCGUGAGGUGUCGGCUUAAGUGCCAUAACGAGCGCAACCCUUGCCAUUAGUUACCAGCAUGUAAUGAUGGGGACUCUAGUGGGACUGCCACCGUAAGGUGUGAGGAGGGGGGGGAUGACGUCAAAUCAGCACGGCCCUUACGUCCGGGGCGACACACGUGUUACAAUGGUGGGUACAGAGGGCAGCUACCUGGUGACAGGAUGCAAAUCUCGAAAACCCAUCUCAGUUCGGAUCGGAGUCUGCAACUCGACUCCGUGAAGUUGGAUUCGCUAGUAAUCGCGCAUCAGCCAUGGCGCGGGGAAUACGAACCCGGGCCUUGCACACACCGCCCGUCAA
rnacentral:rRNA from 1 species